rnacentral:rRNA from 1 species
GAAGCCCUUUUUGGGUGUAAACUUCUGUUCUGAGGAACAAAACUUUUGACGCGUACCUCAGGAGAAACGCACCGGCUAAUUCCGUGCCAGCAGCCGCGGUAAUACGGAAGGUGCAAGCGUUACUCGGAAUUACUGGGCGUAAAGCGUCCGCAGGCUUUCUUCCAAGUCUGGUGUAAAAGCACGGAGCUCAACUCCGUGUACGUACCGGAAACUAGAAGGAUAGAGUCAUACAGAGGCAUCUGGAAUUCCAUGU